rnacentral:rRNA from 1 species
GAUGAACGCUAGCGGCAGGCUUAACACAUGCAAGUCGAGGGGUAACAGAAGUAGCUUGCUAUUUGCUGACGACCGGCGCACGGGUGCGUAACGCGUAUACAAUCUACCUUUUACAGAGGAAUAGCCCAGAGAAAUUUGGAUUAAUACCUCAUAGUAUUAUAAAGUGGCAUCAUUUAAUAAUUAAAACUUCGGUGGUAAAAGAUGAGUAUGCGUUCUAUUAGCUAGAUGGUAAGGUAACGGCUUACCAUGGCAACGAUAGAUAGGGGUCCUGAGAGGGAGAUCCCCCACACUGGUACUGAGACACGGACCAGACUCCUACGGGAGGCAGCAGUGAGGAAUAUUGGACAAUGGAGGUAACUCUGAUCCAGCCAUGCCGCGUGCAGGAAGACGGCCCUAUGGGUUGUAAACUGCUUUUAUAUAGGAAGAAACCGUUCCACGUGUGGAACUCUGACGGUACUAUAUGAAUAAGCACCGGCUAACUCCGUGCCAGCAGCCGCGGUAAUACGGAGGGUGCAAGCGUUAUCCGGAAUCAUUGGGUUUAAAGGGUCCGUAGGCGGGCUAAUAAGUCAGGGGUGAAAUACCACAGCUCAACUGUGGAACUGCCUUUGAUACUGUUAGUCUUGAAUUAUAUGGAAGUAGAUAGAAUGUGUAGUGUAGCGGUGAAAUGCUUAGAGAUUACACAGAAUACCGAUUGCGAAGGCAGUCUACUACGUA